UGCAAUCCAUGAUGCAAACUUUAACCAAACACUGAUAUUUAAAUGAUUAUUCAGUUAAUUAUCACCAUCUUUCGGCUGAGAUUGCA